rnacentral:rRNA from 1 species
UGGGGAAUAUUGGGCAAUGGGCGCAAGCCUGACCCAGCAACGCCGCGUGAAGGAAGAAGCUUUCGGGUUGUAAACUUCUUUUCUGAGGGACGAAGAAAGUGACGGUACCUCAGGAAUAAGCCACUGCUAACUACGUGCC